UAUGAUUCCGUGAUCUAUUGUAAUUACAGUAUUAAAUCUGUAUGAUUAGUCCAUGACUAAAUGAACAUAACCUUCUUGGACAGGUUAAAACAGCAAUCAGGAAGAAUUUACUAAUUUCUUUAGUGCUGUGUACUCAUUAGAAAGUAACUUAUACCAAAAUCAGUUUGUGCUUCUGCAGCCAUAAUGAAUAUGUGGAUAUUAUCUUCUGAUUUUAAACUUCAUCUCCUUUCAGACCACUGACAUAGUUCAGUGAAUUCUGGAUUAGUCAUCACAUUCUGGUUGUGACUACUGAUGAAUACAAUCUUCAAAAAGGAAACCUGCACCUGAAACUCCUUCCAUCCCAUGCCAAUUGAAUCGCAGGUUUUGGGCCAAUACAAAGAAGACGUAGUACUACCCUGUGACUAAGAUCAGGACACUGCUCUGGAAGAAGAAUAGGAAGAAAUAGCAGGCCCAUGCCAGUAAGAGUGUAUAUUUAAAUAAGCAGGAUGGAUAAAGGGUGGCAGCAGGGGAACAUGGGUGAACUGACUUGCCUAUUUGACCAGUAGAGCUUGGGACAGCUGAUCUAGUAUAGUAUGAGUGUUUCAAUAAAUUAGGUUUGCCCAGGCUGGAAUGUAAAGAUUCUUUAGAACACAACAACUAUCACAUCAUAGUCUUUUCCCUAUCAUGACAUUGUGACUACAUAGAACUUUUUGACUAAUUCAGUCCUGAUUUGCUCUUUGAUACAUGCUCAUCUAUGACUGCUUAGCUUGUCCCUGUGGCUCUUGGGGUUUUCAGGUAGCCUUCUAGACUAGUUUGAGAAAAGCUGUAUGGAUUUUCAGCUGUUGUGUUCUUUCCUUAGGAACAUCAUUGUACAUCUAGUCUCAUAUUUUAAAAUGACUUGCUAAUCAAAAUUUACUUGUAAAAUUGUUUUAGUUUUGAAGCAGGAAUUAUUUUUCACUUUAAAAAAAAAAGCAAAAGAAGAACAAAGGAAGAAAAAUAUGGAUUCAUGCCCAUAUCUGUAAGCACAAUAUCAGAAGUAGCAAAUGAAGAAGCAGUCAUCUCACACUGAAAUUAGGAGAGUUGCUGGCUUUUUCCUCCCCCCUUCUGCUUUUUUUUUUUUUUUUUUUUUUAGCCUCAGAUCUUUUUCAAAGCUACAAUAAAUGGUUUUGCACAAUGGCUGAGUCU